rnacentral:rRNA from 1 species
UACAGAGGUCUCAAGCGUUGUUCGGAUUCAUUGGGCGUAAAGGGUGCGUAGGCGGCGCGGUAAGUCGGGUGUGAAAUUUCGAGGCUUAACUUCGAAACUGCAUUCGAUACUGCCGUGCUUGAGGACUGGAGAGGAGACUGGAAUUUACGGUGUAGCGGUGAAAUGCGUAGAUAUCGUAAGGAACACCCGUGGCGAAGGCGGUUCUCUGGGACGGUACUGACGCUGAUGUGCGAAAGCUAGGGGAGCGAACGGG